rnacentral:rRNA from 1 species
GUGCCAGCCGCCGCGGUAAUACGAAGGGGGCUAGCGUUGCUCGGAAUCACUGGGCGUAAAGCGCACGUAGGCGGAUCUUUAAGUCAGGGGUGAAAUCCUGGAGCUCAACUCCAGAACUGCCUUUGAUACUGGGGAUCUCGAGUCCGGGAGAGGUGAGUGGAACUGCGAGUGUAGAGGUGAAAUUCGUAGAUAUUCGCAAGAACACCAGUGGCGAAGGCGGCUCACUGGCCCGGUACUGACGCUGAGGUGCGAAAGCGUGGGGAGCAAACAGGAUUAGAAACCCUAGUAGUCC